rnacentral:lncRNA from 1 species
ACACGAUCCUGUUUCUCUACCCGAUGCUCCCAGGGUUGUCCUCCGGGCUCAGAUCUGACCCACCUCCGGGCCCCGAGGGUCAGUCCCUCACCCCCCGCGCCUCGCCCGCACUCUUGACUAGCUCAAGGGAGCUCCACGGCGCAUGCGCUCAGGGAGGCUCUGGAGGCGCGAGCCUCUGCCUCAUGGUUCCCGCCAAGUGCACUGCGCCAGCGCAGAUCCCUUCAGCCUCAAGGUUGGCCCUCCUGACUUCUGGCAAGCACGUGCUGGCCAGAGGCACGUCUGGGGCUGAACAGGGUUAAGGGGGAGGUGACCCAGAGAAUGGGGUGGGACCCGUAUUCAAAUGAGGCCAGGAGACAAGCCAGGGGCUAGGGGCUCAAGGGAAUGGCAGGUCCUAGAAUUUAGCCCAGUAAUUGGGAGCCCAAACACAGGUAACCCCACCUAGAGGAGAGCCUCAGCCUUAGGUCAUGAAAAUGGAAGGGUCAGGGCAAGGGAGUGGAAUUCCCCACCUCAUUCCCCACCUAACUGCUGUCACUAAGGUACUCUCCA